ensembl:lncRNA
GUGGUCAUAAUGAACUGCCCUUGUGUAGAAAAUGUUAUAAUCGUUGUUACUUUUUCCCUUUUGUGUUUUAUGUGGAAAUAGUAAUACCAUAUGCAACAGCAUGAGGGUGAUUAAAUUAUGGCAGAAUGUACAUUUUAAAGCGAUCUAAUAGAUUUUUCAGAGCAAAAUGCAAGUGGGUACAAUCCUCCAGAACUUGUUGCAGAGAAACCCAUCCAGGAAGGCAUAGGAUCUGCAGAAAAAGAUGAAUGUCCACAAAAUCAAGUGUUUUAUGUUUCGUCAAAUGUUGUAACCAUAUUACCAUCAUGUAAGUAAUAUUGCCUACCAAGACAUAAGUUUACAAUAUUUUUUGUUAAUUAGUAUUAAAGUGGAUAUAUUCUUUAAAUGCAUGAAAUAAUAUGAUUUUUUUUUCCAAUCUCAACUUUAUUAAAUAUAGUAUAUAUUCCGCGCCUACCAUAUGUGGAUGAAUCGCAAAUCCAUUACAAAGAAGAGAACCUGCUGGGGGAAGGUGCAUUUGGAAGAGUGUAUAGAGGCUACUUUCAGGGCACCCCUGCUGCCAUUAAAAAAUUCUCAAUGGCACCGCAGGACUUCCAGACCAAGAUAUCCAGCACGAGAUUCUGGUCUCACUCCGACUGAGCCAUCCCAAUAUUGUUCGACUCAUGGCUGCAGCCCGCACUGACAACGCCUUCCUGCUGGCCAAUGAGUAUAUACAUGGCACAACCCUGGAGGAUGCACUACACAAUGACCAUUCUUCUGUUAAGGUAAAAAAAAAAAUCAUACUUUUCAUGUAACAUUUGUGAAAAAUUGUCUUAACAUUUAAU